rnacentral:rRNA from 1 species
UGUGUAGGCGGUUCUCUAAGUUUGGUGUGAAAUCUCCCGGCUCAACCGGGAGGGUGCGCCGAAAACUGGAGGGCUAGAGUGCGGGAAGGGAGAGUGGAAUUCCUGGUGUAGCGGUGAAAUGCGUAGAUAUCAGGAGGAACACCGGUGGUGCAGACGGCUCUCUGGACCGCGACUGACGCUGAGACACGAAAGCGUGGGUAGCAAACA